AACGAACGCUGGCGGCAUGCCUAACACAUGCAAGUCGAACGAGACCUUCGGGUCUAGUGGCGCACGGGUGCGUAACGCGUGGGAAUCUGCCCUUGGGUACGGAACAACAGUUAGAAAUGACUGCUAAUACCGUAUAAUGACUCCGGUCCAAAGAUUUAUCGCCCAAGGAUGAGCCCGCGUCGGAUUAGCUAGUUGGUGAGGUAAAAGCUCACCAAGGCGACGAUCCGUAGCUGGUCUGAGAGGAUGAUCAGCCACACUGGGACUGAGACACGGCCCAGACUCCUACGGGAGGCAGCAGUGGGGAAUAUUGGACAAUGGGCGAAAGCCUGAUCCAGCAAUGCCGCGUGAGUGAUGAAGGCCUUAGGGUUGUAAAGCUCUUUUACCCGGGAUGAUAAUGACAGUACCGGGAGAAUAAGCCCCGGCUAACUCCGUGCCAGCCGCCGCGGUAAGAC
rnacentral:rRNA from 1 species